ACGAAAGUUUUUAACUUUAGUGGCGAACGGGUGCGUAAUACGUGAGAAUCUGCCCCUAGGAGAAGAAUAACUGCUGGAAACGGCUGCUAAAUCUUCAUAUGUCGAGAGAUGAAAUAGCUUAGGCUGCCUAGGGAUGAGCUCGCGCCUGAUUAGCUAGUUGGUGAGGUAAUGGCUCACCAAGGCCACGAUCAGUAGCUGGUUUGAGAGAACGAUCAGCCACACUGGGACUGAGACACGGCCCAGACUCCUCCGGGAGGCAGCAGUGAGGAAUUUUCCGCAAUGGGCGAAAGCCUGACGGAGCAAUACCGCGUGAGGGAUGAAGGAUUUUGGUCUGUAAACCUCUUUUCUCAAGAAAGAAGUUCUGACGGUACUUGAGGAAUAAGCAUCGGCUAACUCCGUGCCAGCAGCCGCGGUAAUACGGGGGAUGCAAGCGUUAUCCGGAAUCAUUGGGCGUAAAGCGCCUGUAGGUUGUUUAAUAAGUCCGUUGUUAAAGACUAGGGCUUAACCCUAGAAAAAGCAAUGGAAACUAUUAGACUAGAGUAUGGCAGGGGUAGAGGGAAUUUCUAGUGUAGCGGUGAAAUGCGUAGAUAUUAGAAAGAACACCGGCGGCGAAAGCGCUCUACUGGACCAUUACUGACACUCAGAGGCGAAAGCUAGGGUAGCAAAAGGGAUUAGAUACCCCUGUAGUCCUAGCCGUAAACGAUGGAUACUAGAUGUUGUGCUUUAUGUACAGUAUCGUAGCUAACGCGUUAAGUAUCCCGCCUGGGGAGUACGCUCGCAAGGGUGAAACUCAAAGGAAUUGACGGGGGCCCGCACAAGCGGUGGAGCAUGUGGUUUAAUUCGAUGCAACGCGAAGAACCUUACCAGGGCUUGACAUACUACGAAUUCUCUUGAAAAAGAGAAGUGCCUUCGGGAAUGUAGAUACAGGUGGUGCAUGGCUGUCGUCAGCUCGUGUCGUGAGAUGUUGGGUUAAGUCCCGCAACGAGCGCAACCCUUAUUUUUAGUUACUAAUUCGUUAGGUUCUCUAGAAAGACUGCCGGUGACAAACCGGAGGAAGGUGAGGAUGACGUCAAGUCAGCAUGCCCCUUAUGUCCUGGGCUACACACGUGCUACAAUGGUUAAGACAAAGAGUCGCGAGCUUGUAAAAGUCAGCUAAUCUCAUAAACUUAGCCUAAGUUCAGAUUGUAG
rnacentral:rRNA from 1 species